AGCUGCGAUAAAUAGUGCGAAUUGCAGACGCAUUGAGCACAGAGAUUUCGAAUGCACAUUGCACCAUUGGGUU
rnacentral:rRNA from 1 species